rnacentral:rRNA from 1 species
CUAAGCCUACGGGGGGCAGCAGUGGGGAAUAUUGCACAAUGGGCGAAAGCCUGAUGCAGCAACGCCGCGUGAAGGAAGAAGGCCUUCGGGUCGUAAACUUCUGUCCUUGGGGAAGAAGAACUGACGGUACCCAAGGAGGAAGCCCCGGCUAACUACAUGCCAGCAGCCGCGGUAAUACGUAGGGGGCAAGCGUUAUCCGGAUUUACUGGGUGUAAAGGGGGCGCAGACGGCAAUGCAAGCCAGGAGUGAAAGCCCGGGGCCCAACCCCGGGACUGCUCUUGGAACUGCAUGGCUGGAGUACAGGG